UACGGGGGGAGCAAGCGUUGUUCGGAUUUACUGGGCGUAAAGGGCGCGUAGGCGGCGCAACAAGUCACUUGUGAAAUCUCCGGGCUUAACCCGGAGCGGCCAAGUGAUACUGUCGUGCUAGAGUGCGGAAGGGGCUACUGGAAUUCUCGGUGUAGCGGCGAAAUGCGUAGAUAUCGAGAGGAACACCUGCGGCGAAGGCGGGUAGCUGGGCCGACACUGACGCUGAGGCGCGAAAGCCAGGGGAGCGAACGGG
rnacentral:rRNA from 1 species